UGCCAUGGUUGGGAGGCCCUAGGAUUGAACUCAGAUUGUCAGGCUGGCAACAGUGCUUUUAUCCAUUGGUCCUCCUUCCUGCUCUUAAUAUUUACUGUUAGGACUGUGAUCCAGAUCUCCUGCUGUCCAAGGGCAAAGGAAGGGUUCUUUGUGUUAUCCUAUUUUCUUCCCUCUAAUGUCAUCUUAGUAUAAAUUGAAAGUUAAACAGAUUAAAGACGUCUUGUGUAUUUAAAUCGUCACAUGUUCCUGGUUUUGCAAGCUCCUGGCUUAGCAGCCUGGCUCAUCCCAAGUAUUCAAUCUCAUUUUGCUCUAUUGCUUUUUCUAAUACAACAUUUGGAUUAAAACUUGGAGACCAAAAACGCAGUGUUUUAAGUAGCUUUGGGUGAUUGACAAUGGAGUUGCUGUGGGUAGGUGUGGGCAUUGCUUACAGGCUAGAUAAAGGCUCUUGGUAAGAGCCAUUUGCUGAGGGGUGCUCUGCCCCUUUUUCUCCAGCACUGUAUCUAAAGAUUCUGCAUUCUGCUCUCAUAGUCAGUCAAAAUCUCGACCCUGUUCAGAGUUGUUUAUAUGUCAUGACUGGAAACUGUUAUCAUUUGAUUUUGUUUGCUUCUGUCUUCCUAGGUGGCAUUGGCAGGGUGGUCAAUGGAGCCUUCAUGGUGCUGAAAGGGCAUCGGUCCAUCGUGAACCAGGUUCGGUUUAACCCCCACACCUAUAUGAUCUGCUCUUCUGGCGUAGAAAAGAUUAUCAAGGUGAGGCACUUUCCUCUUCUGUCCUUUUAGGGAAAUGUUUGUAGUUCAUAACUAGAAGAAAUUAGAACAAUGUGUGUUGGGAUUUAUAUCUAAAUCUUGACAAUUAUCAGACUCCUCCAUGAGUGCCAGGAAUGGUGGUGCAUGCCUGUAAACCUGACACUUAGAGCCAAGGUUAAGAGAAUAGCUAGCUAUGUUGCAGAAGUUGAUAUUGUAAAAGUAGGUGGGGCAUGGGGGUGGGGUUAAAUGUGUUUAAUACAAGAUCUCUCUGAGUUUAAGCUAACAUAGUCUAUAGUGAAUCCAGGCCAGGCAGGGCUACACACUAUGAGUCUGGUGUUUGUUUGUUUUCAAGUGAUUUUUAAUAUUUCUUUCAGAAUCAUUGUAACAUGUUUAUUAAUCAGUGUACUUAUAGAACUUUUAUAUGGCUCAUUUUUUAUCAGAAAUGUACAUUUGUUCAGGUAUCAUGGCACAUACCUGUAAACAAGUAUAAACACUUGAGAAAUGGAGGCAGGAGCACCAGAAGGUCAGGGUUAUACUUUACUACAUAGGGAGUUUAAGGUCAGCCCUGUUUUAAUAUUUUUUAAUGACAAUAUAACCUGAGAGAGUUUUCAGAGGAAAAGUAAAAGUAUAUUUGUGAUGAUUUAGUAUUUUUCCUCCUUAUUUAUUGUUUGAGAAUUUCACACAUGCAUCCACUCCCUUACAAUUCCUGCCUAGUGGUUUCCCCUACCACUCUCCCCACCCAACUUUAUGUGCUUUGUAAGUUUUUUAGCCCAUUUACUCCACUUAGUGCUUUCGUUUGUGUAUGGGGUUUGGGGCGGAGUGAGGGGUGUGUGUAGCUUCCUUUGUUCCUCUAGCAGCCAUCAGUUGCUUCUAGCUCCUCAGCUCAGGUUGGGACUUGGUGAGCAUCUUCCUGUUCAUGCUAGAGUCUGGUGUGGCUUAAGUUUGCCGCUGCAAGUUCACUUGUGCAGUUGCCCUGCUGUGUUCAGGAAGCAGUUCUGCUGUAGUCAUCCAUCCCCUCUGCCUCUUACAGGUUCCUGUCUCAUCUUCACAGUGAUCUCUGAGCUUUAGGAAGGGGAGGAUUCUAGAUCUAUCAUUUGGGACAGAGUAUUCUGUAGUCUCUUAUAUUUUCAGACAAUGAAAUUUAAAUUACAAAUUGCUGUCAUGUGGUUAAUGUAUAGAAAGCCAGGAGGAAACCUUAUCCACCGCCUUCACCUUGCUGUCGAAGGGAGCGGACAGCAGCCAUCUGUCAUCUGUCUGGACCAUCUCAGUCACCCUUCACUAGGACGGUCACUGAAAUAGCCCUGUUCCUCACAUUGCUUCCCCUCUCUCUGGCCUAUGAUUAAUAGGUUGGCACUGUAAAACGUGCCCUUUCUAGGCCUGUUGACGUCAUUCGCUUCAGAGCUCUCUGCUUGGGCAUCUCCUUUAGAAGAGAAAUUCCUGUUUGACAUCUACUUGGAUGCUUCUGUGCUGAGUCUCCUCAGAUAUUGUUUAGUCAACCAAAGUCUUAACUCUAAAGGUCAUAGGUUGGAAACUGGCCAAGUUCUCAAGAAAGAGAAGAAAAUGUUUUCUCUGUGAGGUUAUCCAGACUGAGCUGUGGAGCUCACUGCUCCCAGGUUCCCAUAGGAACAGAGAGGCCAUUUAAAGCCGUGAGCGUGCAAUGAGAGCAGAGCACUUAAGUUCUCUGGGUUCUCUGGGUUCUCACACAUUUCCCCACCUGCCUCUGGCUGGGCAUAGUAUAGUUGGGUUUGGUGGAGUGCCCUCAAGAGUCUGAGACAGGAGGACAGCACAUUCCCAGGUCAGCCCAAGCUACACAGCCAGACUCUGUCUC
rnacentral:lncRNA from 1 species